UGGGAUGUUGCUCAGUGGUAGAGUGCUUGCCUAAUAUGCAUGAGACCCUGGGUUCGACCCCAGCAACACAC
rfam:Ictidomys tridecemlineatus contig017490, whole genome shotgun sequence.